UAGAGUUUGAUCCUGGCUCAGGAUGAACGCUAGCGACAGGCCUAACACAUGCAAGUCGAGGGGCAUCGGGGCGAGGAGCAAUCCUUGCCGCCGGCGACCGGCGCACGGGUGAGUAACGCGUAUGCGACCUGCCCGUUGCAGGGGGAUAAUCGGGAGAAAUCCCGUCUAAUACCGCGUAACGCCGCGGGGCUGCAUGGCCCUGCGGCCAAAGGAAGCGAUUCCGGCAACGGAUGGGCAUGCGUGACAUUAGCUAGUUGGCGGGGCAACGGCCCACCAAGGCGACGAUGUCUAGGGGUUCUGAGAGGAAGGUCCCCCACACUGGUACUGAGACACGGACCAGACUCCUACGGGAGGCAGCAGUGAGGAAUAUUGGUCAAUGGGCGCGAGCCUGAACCAGCCAAGUCGCGUGAGGGAUGACGGCCCUACGGGUUGUAAACCUCUUUUGUCGGGGAGCAAAUUCCGCCACGUGUGGCGGAGUCGAGAGUACCCGAAGAAAAAGCAUCGGCUAACUCCGUGCCAGCAGCCGCGGUAAUACGGAGGAUGCGAGCGUUAUCCGGAUUUAUUGGGUUUAAAGGGUGCGUAGGCGGACUGUCAAGUCAGCGGUAAAAUACGGGGGCUCAACCUCCGCCCGCCGUUGAAACUGACGGUCUUGAGUGGGCGAGAAGUAUGCGGAAUGCGUGGUGUAGCGGUGAAAUGCAUAGAUAUCACGCAGAACUCCGAUUGCGAAGGCAGCAUACCGGCGCCCAACUGACGCUGAAGCACGAAAGCGUGGGUAUCGAACAGGAUUAGAUACCCUGGUAGUCCACGCAGUAAACGAUGAAUACUAGCUGUCCGGGGCGAAUGAGCCCUGGGUGGCACAGCGAAAGCGUUAAGUAUUCCACCUGGGGAGUACGCCGGCAACGGUGAAACUCAAAGGAAUUGACGGGGGCCCGCACAAGCGGAGGAACAUGUGGUUUAAUUCGAUGAUACGCGAGGAACCUUACCCGGGCUCAAACGACACAGGAACGGUCCUGAAAGGGGUCGGCUCUACGGAGCCUGUGUCGAGGUGCUGCAUGGUUGUCGUCAGCUCGUGCCGUGAGGUGUCGGCUUAAGUGCCAUAACGAGCGCAACCCCCAUCGACAGUUGCUAACAGGUCAAGUUGAGGACUCUGUCGAGACUGCCGGCGCAAGCUGCGAGGAAGGCGGGGAUGACGUCAAAUCAGCACGGCCCUUACGUCCGGGGCGACACACGUGUUACAAUGGCAGGUACAGCGGGAAGCCACCUGGCGACAGGGAGCGGAACCCGAAAGCCUGUCUCAGUUCGGAUUGGAGUCUGCAACCCGACUCCAUGAAGCUGGAUUCGCUAGUAAUCGCGCAUCAGCCACGGCGCGGUGAAUACGUUCCCGGGCCUUGUACACACCGCCCGUCAAGCCAUGGAAGCCGGGGGUGCCUGAAGUGCGCUGCCGCAAGGAGCGCCCUAGGGUAAAACCGGUGACUGGGGCUAAGUCGUAACAAGGUAGCCGUAA
rnacentral:rRNA from 1 species